AGCAGCCGCGGUAAUUCCAGCUCCAAUAGCGUAUAUUAAAGUUGUUGCAGUUAAAAAGCUCGUAGUUGAAUUUCGGGAUUUGUCAGUUGGUCGGGCUUCACUGUCCGUAUUGACUUGAUGGAUUCUUACCUUCUGAAUAACCAGCAUGCUAUUAAUUUAGUGCGUUGGGGAAGCAGAUCUAUUACCUUGAAAAAUUAGAGUGCUUAAAGCGAGCUAGUGCUUGAAUAGAUUAGCAUGGAAUAAUAAAAUAGGACGGCAUGGUUCUAUUUUGUUGGUUUCUAGGAUCACCGUAAUGAUUAAUAGGGAUAGUUGGGGGCAUUAGUAUUCAAUUGUCAGAGGUGAAAUCCUUGGAUUUAUUGAAGACUAACUACUGCGAAAGCAUUUGCCAAGGAUGUUUUCAUUAAUCAAGAACGAAAGUUAGGGGAUCGAAGACGAUCAGAUACCGUCGUAGUCUUAACCAUAAACUAUGCGACUAGGGAUCGGAUGAUGUUAAUUUUUAAUGACUCAUUC
rnacentral:rRNA from 1 species